rnacentral:misc_RNA from 1 species
CAAAGCGGAAGACAUAUAUAUGACGACUAGAACCGACAAGCGCUUUAAUGAGCGACACACCUGUACAUAUAGACGUCGAUAGAAGUAUUCUCGAGCCGACAGGUGCCCGAAAACCGCAACAUAUGCAGACAGCAGACGAUGGCCCUACAGUAUAAAAACACCAACGACCCGAGAAAACUGGACCUGUGUUAGGAUAAACUUCUCUUCCCCAGACCAUCAUGACCUGACUGACCUAGGUCUUCAUUGCAUCAUCCUCAUCUGAAGGAAAUUACCGAGGCUGAGUUCAGUCAAACAGAGCAGGAACACGUUCUUGCACAUGACACAAAAGCGAAUUAUCACGCGUGGAACCAGCGAGAUCGCUAGUUAACAUUAGCGUCGUUGACUGUCAAUAUCUGACGUUGCCCUGGAUACUGACCUAGAUACUGACGUCAGAUGUACGACCGAUAUCAGGCCAAAGGAAGUCGUCUGAUUUAAAGCAAUGGCGGGAAAAUGCUUAAUAAUAAAGAAGACAACAGAUCAUCUAGUCGUGUUUUGUCGAUAAUCUAGUCGAAUUUUCUAUGUGUGUGGUCUUCUUCAACUUCCGAGUGUCGAGAAAAUAUGCUAGUUGAAGCUAGCGGUACAUCGUGUUAUAGUACCAGUAACAGUAUUCAACUAUUAGCGUACCGCUAAAACUGACCGAGAUUUCCCGCCAAAAGAGGUUUUAAAAAGAAAGAAAGAUAAAAAAAGAAAAGAAAACAAAGAGUCUUAACGACGUCAGAAUUCGCAUUGCACUCUUCUGGUCUCGAAAAGCAAUGAUUAUGUCAUGCUGGUAAAUUCAACAAAGACGAGACCGUGACUAACGUUAAGAGCUCAUAUCGCAAGGGGAAAAGGAAUACUCCGCCAUCUUACAGGAAACACGACUGCGCAGGCGCACAGCGUGAUCCAAUGCCUUCUACAGUGUCUUUCAGAGCUGCCAUUGGAACUGCCUUCCUUAUGUUCGGGACAGCUAUACACGUGGCAGCCAUUGCAUGUCCCUAUUGGUUCCACUUGACGUAUCGAGACAUAGCUUUGCACGAGGGAUUGUGGGAAAUAUGUUUGUCAAACAAGACGUCUGGUUCAGGACAAUGUCAUCAGAUCCCGUCAAGCUAUCCCGUGUGGUUCCAUGGUGUUCAGACGCUGGAGUUGCUAGGCGGUCUCUGUGAGCUGGUUACCAUGGUGGUAGUCGUGUGUUAUCUCUGCAAGGGAGCAACCUACUACAACUGGCUCUGUCAGUUCUUUGGCGUCUUCGCAGGUCUUUUAAACGUAGCUGGUGGGAUUAUUUACACGCAAAGAACCAACUACCCGGAAUGGAAUCUCGUGCAAACUUUGGAUGCAGCGCGUCCAAUCCUCGUCCAGAUUACAGAAUAUCAAAGCGAGUUGUCUUGGGCGUUCGGAUUGGCCAUGGGGUCGUCCGGACUGGACUGCGUUGCGGCCAUUUUCUUUGUUUGGGAGAGUGUUAGACGCGUGACGCCGCCAACGAUUUUACCGUACCAGUUACUUACGUAGCGCGUGCUUUGACCCAGUAGAAACUGAGGGAUGAACUGCUUGUAGGAAGGUUGCAUAGUUGAAGCUGUCAGGCUAAAUGUUUUAGGCCAUAUUUUUCUUCAAGAAUAUCAGCAUAUCUACUACUUCAGGAUUGAGUGCGGCCCUCUGUGCUGUUACAAUGUCCACAGCUGUACUGAAUACACGUUCUGAUGGUACCGAUGUUACUGGAAUACACAACCGUUUCCUUGCUAACCGGGAGAGAAUGGAAAACUGACCUACAUGAUUAUAUAAACCACGACAUAUAUUAGUAGCAUAAUGUCAUUUUAAUUUUUUAACACAAUACUAGAACACCAGUGUGACGAUAUCAAACUAUUUAUAAAUUGUCACAUUUGGAAAUCCUUACUAUUGGGCUUUUCCAUUGCUGCUCGCUUGACACGGAAAUGUACAUAUUGAGUCGCAAUAUUUCGGCACAUCAACCGAGCCAGCGGUUAUUGGACGAGGUGUUCUGAACGAUCGGCCAAAGUAUUCAGAGUUCGGGAAAAAACAGUGAAGUGUGAUUCUCACUUGUUGGUUGAUUUUGUUUAAAAACGAUAGCCGUAUUCCAAUGUAAAUGAACAAUGAAUAAUAAUGUGUAAGUAACAAAACAUUUAUUUGUAAUUAUCGUUAACUUGUUAUUUUUAUUGGA